rnacentral:rRNA from 1 species
UACGUAGGGUCCGAGCGUUGUCCGGAAUUACCGGGCGUAAAGAGCUCGUAGGUGGUUUGUCGCGUUGUUCGUGAAAACUCACAGCUUAACUGUGGGCGUGCGGGCGAUACGGGCAGACUUGAGUACUGCAGGGGAGACUGGAAUUCCUGGUGUAGCGGUGGAAUGCGCAGAUAUCAGGAGGAACACCGGUGGCGAAGGCGGGUCUCUGGGCAGUAACUGACGCUGAGGAGCGAAAGCGUGGGGAGCGAACAGG